rnacentral:rRNA from 1 species
UGCGUAGGCGGGCCACCAAGUCUGCGGUGAAAUUCUCCGGCUCAACCGGAGUAGUGCCGCGGAUACUGGGGGCCUCGAGGGGGGUAGGGGCAUGCGGAACUCUGGGUGGAGCGGUGAAAUGCGUUGAGAUCCAGAGGAACUCCGGUGGCGAAGGCGGCAUGCUGGACCUUUUCUGACGCUGAGGCACGAAAGCCAGGGGGAGCGAACG